rnacentral:rRNA from 1 species
CGUGGCUACUGUGCGGCUGGGCACUUUGCCGUCUCUUCCCGCGGUGCUCUUCGCCGAGUGUCGCGGGUGGCCGGCACGUUUACUUUGAAAAAAUUAGAGUGCUCCAGGCAGGCCUAUGCUCGAAUACAUUAGCAUGGAAUAAUAAAAUAGGACGUGUGGUUCUAUUUUGUUGGUUUCUAGGACCGCCGUAAUGAUUAAUAGGGACAGUCGGGGGCAUCAGUAUUCAGUUGUCAGAGGUGAAAUUCUUAGAUCUACUGAAGACUAACUACUGCGAAAGCAUUUGCCAAGGAUGUUUUCAUUAAUCAGGAACGAAAGUUAGGGGAUCGAAGACGAUCAGAUACCGUCGUAGUCUUAACCAUAAACUAUGCCGACUAGGGAUCGGACGAUGUUAUUUUUUGACUCGUCCGGCACCUUACGAGAAAUCAAAGUGCUUGGGCUCCAGGGGGAGUAUGGUCGCAAGGCUGAAACUUAAAGAAAUUGACGGAAGGGCACCACCAGGGGUGGAGCCUGCGGCUUAAUUUGACUCAACACGGGGAAACUCACCAGGUCCAGACACAAUAAGGAUUGACAGAUUGAGAGCUCUUUCUUGAUUUUGUGGGUGGUGGUGCAUGGCCGUUCUUAGUUGGUGGAGUGAUUUGUCUGCUUAAUUGCGAUAACGAACGAGACCUUAACCUGCUAACUAGCCCGUAUUGCUCAGGCAGUACGCCGGCUUCUUAGAGGGACUAUCGG